GGAUUGGGGGUGAUCUGACGGUGACAUCUGUCACUCCAUUGAUCACCAGCGUUGAUUUGGCUGAUCUGGCUGUCUAGGCGGGUGUCCCCUUCCUCCCUUACUGCUCCAUGUGUGUCCCUCCCAAGAUGUGAGUUCUGUGGAAGAGUAUGACCACCCUGGAUAGAGGAGGACUGUUUCCUCCAUCAACAGUAUGAGUAGCUGCACUCCACUACUACAAUCUUCAAACAAGCUUUAAAAGAAAGGCUAGUAGCCAGGUGUGGUGGCGCAUGCCUGUUAUCCCAGCACUUGGGAGGCUGAGGCAG
ensembl:misc_RNA 7SK 7SK RNA